GAUGAACGCUGGCGGCGUGCCUAAUACAUGCAAGUCGAGCGACCAGACGAUGAGCUUUCUCCUUUGCCGUUAGCGGCGGACGGGUGAGUAACACGUGGAUAACCUACUUCUUUUACUUGGAUAAUAUCGGGAAACCGCAUAUACUACUGGCUCAUAUAUUCUACCGCUUGGUUCAAUAGUUCUUCACGCUUUUCCCGACUCUUAUAGCCGAUGUCGCAUUAGCUAGUUGGUUUGGUAAAGGCCCACCAAGGCAACGAUGCGUAGCUGGGCUGAGAGGAUGAUCAGCCACACUGGAACUGAGACACGGUCCAGACUCCUACGGGAGGCAGCAGUGGGGAAUAUUCGGCAAUGGGCGAAAGCCUGACGGAGCAACACCGCGUGAGUGAAGAAGGUCUUCGGAUCGUAAAACUCUGUUAUUAGGAAAGAACAAAAGUGUAUGUAACUAUGCACGUCUUGACGGUACCUAAUCAGAAAGCCACGGCUAACUACGUG
rnacentral:rRNA from 1 species